rnacentral:rRNA from 1 species
CUACGGGUGGCAGCAGGCGAGAAAACUUUGCAAUGUGCGAAAGCACGACAAGGUUAAUCCGAGUGGUUUGUGCUAAACGAACCUUUUGACAGUCCUAGAAACACUGUUGAAUAAGGGGUGGGCAAGUUCUGGUGUCAGCCGCCGCGGUAAAACCAGCACCUCAAGUGGUCAGGAUGAUUAUUGGGCCUAAAGCAUCCGUAGCCGGCUCCGUAAGUUUUCGGCUAAGUCUGUACGCUCAACGUACAGGCUGCCGGGAAUACUGCAGAGCUAGGGAGUGGGAGAGGUAGACGGUACUCGGUAGGAAGGGGUAAAAUCCUUUGAUCUAUUGAUGACCACCUGUGGCGAAGGCGGUCUACCAGAACACGUCCGACGGUGAGGGAUGAAAGCUGGGGGAGCAAACCGGAUUAGAUACCCCAGUAGUC